UCUGAUUGAUUGGUGCUAAGCAAGCAUGUGAGCCUGGACAAAAUUUCCCCCCAUUGACUGUAGAGCUUGUGGAUCUUAUAAACCUUGCGCUCCUCAAGCUUCCAUCUGAGGGUGCCCGACAGAUGCUCUGUAGGGUUUAAGUUUGGUGACAGUGUAUGCCAGCUGGCCUUUACCUUCAGUUUUUGUUACCAUGUUGGAAUACUGUCUUGGUAUCAUCAGAGCAUAAAACAUUGUUCCCAUAAUCCAUGUCUUAAUCCAUGUUUAUCUUCAACUAUGCUUUCUUGUGCAUCAUCAUUAAAAGAGGCUUCCUUGGGGGACGACAGCCAUGCUUGAUCAGUUUGAUACAUUGUAUUGUAUGGUCUGAGCACAAAGAGGCUGACAAGACCACCUGGAUAUGAUGCUGAGCAUGCCUGUUCUGAGCAGAAGCGGUCCUGUUAAACCUACUGUGCUACUUUGAACUUCCAGUGAGCAGCAUGAGAGAGUGUUAAAAGGAUACCAUCAAAUUUAACACACCAUCUCCCCGUAACCCGAGACCUUGUAAAACUAACAUGUCACAUGAAAAUGACACAUUUGGACCUAUUCACUUUGGCGUGUACACUGACUACUUGUAGCAAAGUGUUAUUUUCUUAAAGUUUAUCCUAUAAAAAUUGUUUAAAAAAAAAAGUGACAGUCUACAGUACAGAAUAUAAAAUGUUAUAAAUAAAAUUCCCAUUUUAAAUGUAAUCACAGCCGACAUGUUAAGUCAACCGCUGUCACAAAAUAUGCAUUCUGAAUUUGAGCAGCAAUUCACACAUGAAGCAACACACCUGAAUAGCCUACAGUGCCCACGCAACAUCACGCAUGCUGCUUGUCCUGUCUGGGCCUGCUGCACAGGCUCACCAGUAGCCACUUUAGGCCCAGUGAAGUUCAUGAUGAAUGUCAACGCACAAGCUGUCAUUUUUUUUCUUGUCCGGAUCUGACUGUACAAGGAAAAAACUCGUCUGCUUUCUAAAAUUGCAAGCAGGCAUGUUUGAUGUGUUAUAGUCACUGUUGCAAACGUUUUAUGAAGAAAGAAAUUAAUGGGGUA